CCUAACAAGGUAUAAGCUUUAUGAGCUUCGCUUUUUCCGUCCUCAACUUUGCACGUUUAACUGCGCGUGUUCGUGGGAGUCGUGGUCGUCAUAGUACAAACGAGUGCAUUUCGCCAAGAUUAGCCCAAGGCCGGUGACGUCUGGCGAAUGAAAUCCGAUCGACUUAUGUGAACAAAGUUGCAUCCCCUCAAGGUCGCGCAUACGAACGUGCGCUAGAAAAGGUAUAAAACCCGGGCCUGCCUGGAAUAUAUAGCUGUAUCCUCGCAUGUCAUCUAGCAACCACGAGCUCUGCCUACUGGACCUUGUACGCCCCUCUCAGCAACAUGGGACCCAAGUGAGUCGUCCAUCGCUGCGUCCACUGUCUAUUAUGGCAAUCUUUAUUAUCCGCUAUUCGCUGCGUCCGUCAUACCGCAGGCGUUUUGCCACUGUAGAUCCGCCGUCUCCGCCACCGGCGAAACAGCCGCACCAGGAAACAACCACGCCAGGGAGCAUGCCUGAAACCACCGCGAGCUCGGCAUUGACCGCAACACCGACUAGCCCUGCUUCGUGCAGCGCUCCCGCUUCGAGGUAUGGCUCGGACGUUGUAACCAAUCUCCCCACUGGCUGUGUUUCGUCUUGUGUUUGCGCUUGCGGUUGCGUCUGUGCCUUGCAUAUGCAAUAUACGAUUUAGUCUUGUUCGUUGUCGGCUUCGUUGGAGGACGCGGACGACUUUAUUGUGCGUGACAUGCUGUGCACUCCCUCGGAGUUGUCUUACAAUGGUUGGACGUUCUAAAUAUUGUAUAUUAACUGCUGGUCGUUCGACUUAUACCGUUCAGCGCCAAUACUUUCACUCUAGUCUCUCUACGAAGUUAAUACUGCUCAGCCCGUCAAUAUAAUCAACCGCCUUCUUUGCAUAAGCAGUCCAGCUAUUACUUGGACCUUGCUCUGCUA
rnacentral:lncRNA from 1 species